GUGGGGAAUAUUGGACAAUGGGGGGAACCCUGAUCCAGCCAUGCCGCGUGUGUGAAGAAGGCCUUUUGGUUGUAAAGCACUUUAAGCGAGGAGGAGGCUACUCUAGUUAAUACCUAGGGAUAGUGGACGUUACUCGCAGAAUAAGCACCGGCUAACUCUGUGCCAGCAGCCGCGGUAAUACAGAGGGUGCGAGCGUUAAUCGGAUUUACUGGGCGUAAAGCGUGCGUAGGCGGCUUUUUAAGUCGGAUGUGAAAUCCCCGAGCUUAACUUGGGAAUUGCAUUCGAUACUGGGAAGCUAGAGUAUGGGAGAGGAUGGUAGAAUUCCAGGUGUAGCGGUGAAAUGCGUAGAGAUCUGGAGGAAUACCGAUGGCGAAGGCAGCCAUCUGGCCUAAUACUGACGCUGAGGUACGAAAGCAUGGGGAGCAAACAGGAUUAGAAACCCCUGUAGUCC
rnacentral:rRNA from 1 species